GGCGGUAGGCCUAACCUUAACUGUAGUCAUUGAUACAUUCUUAACAUAAACACCCAUUUUAGGUUAGUUGUGCGAUUAAGAUUUUUGACGAAUCAAUCAACUCUAAAUCUAACAUUAACAUAUCACGCCUUCACUUGAUAGUACUCCUUUCUUUACUCUGUAGUUGUCUCAAAUUCGAACCAUUUUUUUUUUUUUUUUGUCCGAAAGACUCCUUUAGUGACCCAAUUCUUUUUCCCAUCUAGGUUUCAAAGUUUCUCUUUCUCUCAUAUUUUCAUUUGUUAUAUGUAUCCCUCUUUACUAUAAGUAUUAUGAGUCUUACGUAUGCAGAGAGAAGAAAUAGAUAAAAAAGAAGAAGAGGAGGAAAAUGAAGAUGAUGAUGAUGAUGAUGAGGAGGAGGAAGAAGAAUAGAUGAAAAAGGAUGAGGACGAUGAGGAUGAUGAUGAUGGAGCAGCAACAGAAUCCAAAACUGAUCAGCUGACCCUGGGAAUCGGAUUGUGCAAAUUGAAGUUGCAGUUCUUGGCAGCCGAGAAUGUCACUGGAAAAUAAAUUUGAAAGUAAGACUGAGAGAGGAAUGUGUCAAAUGUAUUAAUGUGUUUGCUUGAUUGAUAAAUGUAUGGUUGGUAUAUAUGAAUUUGGUCUUGGGACAGUAUGGGCUUGAAAAGUCAAGAGAGUAAAGUGCAGCUAGGAAUAUUUGCAGGUAAAUUGAUAAGUAAAAGAUGUUCUGCCAGAAGUUUUUUAUUGAUCUGAUGAAGGGCUGAGUUAGAGGCUUCUUAGUGUGCUCUGUUUUUUAUUUGAGAGAUAUAAUUUGGCAGAUCCUAGCUGCUUCCAAGUAUUGGUUUACUCUAACAUGUUUUAUAUUUGGGACAACUCAUUUGAAUGAUCCAAUUAUGGUACACUUAUUCAGGUUGCUAA